UACGAAGGGUGCAAGCGUUACUCGGAAUUACUGGGCGUAAAGCGUGCGUAGGUGGUUCGUUAAGACAGGUGUGAAAUCCCCGGGCUUAACCUGGGAACUGCAUUUGUGACUGCAUAGCUAGAGUACGGUAGAGGGGGAUGGAAUUCCGCGUGUAGCAGUGAAAUGCGUAGAUAUGCGGAGGAACACCGAUGGCGAAGGCAAUCCCCUGGACCUGUACUGACGCUCAUGCACGAAAGCGUGGGGAGCAAACAGG
rnacentral:rRNA from 1 species